GCCCGGCUAACUCAAUUGGUAGAGUGUCAGACUCUUAAUCUGAAAGUUGGGGGAUCGUGGCCCCCGUCGGGCU
rnacentral:tRNA from 1 species